rnacentral:rRNA from 1 species
CGCUGAACUUAAGCAUAUCAGUAAGCGGAGGAAAAGAAACUAACAAGGAUUGCCUCAGUAACGGCGAGUGAACAGGCAAAAGCUCAAAUUGUAAAUCUAUGGUUUCCGAUCAUAGAAUUGUAAUCUAAAAGAUUUUCGCAGAAGGAUAGGUUUUCGCAUAACGCCCUGAAAAGGGUGGUCAUAGAGGGUGAUAACCCCGUAGUUGGCGAAAAACCUACCGUAUGCGGGGAUUCGAAGAGUCGGGUUGUUUGGGGACUGCAGCCCUAAUUGGGGAGAUAAAACUUCUUCUAAGGCUAAAUAUUGAUGUGAGACCGAUAGCAAACAAGUACCGUGAGGGAAAGGUGAAAAGAACUUUGAAAAGAGAGUUAAAAGUACUUAGAAAUUGUUAACAGGGAAACGAUAUAAUCCUUUAUACUAUUUGAAUUGAAUCAAUUUUAUCUAUAUUUAUUUGUAGUAUUUAUAAUUGUCUUGCUUUAUGGAUAUUACUGUAAGUUGAUAGGAUGCAC